rnacentral:rRNA from 1 species
ACUCAAAUGAAUAGACGGGGACCCGCACAAGCGGUGGAGCAUGUGGUUUAAUUCGACGCAACGCGAAGAACCUUACCUGAGCUAGAAUGUGAGGGAAGAGAGGGUAAUUCCGAUCGUCCGGGAAACCGGACCCAAAACAAGGUGCUGCAUGGCUGUCGUCAGCUCGUGUCGUGAGAUGUUGGGUUAAGUCCCGCAACGAGCGCAACCCUUAACUCUAGUUGCCAGCAUUAAGUUGGGAACUCUAGAGUGACUGCCGUUGAUAAAACGGAGGAAGGUGGGGAUGAUGUCAAGUCAUCAUGGCCUUUAUGCCCAGGGCUACACACGUGCUACAAUGGCCGGUACAAAACGUCGCAAACCCGUAAGGGGAAGCUAAUCGCAAAAACCGGUCUCAGUUCGGAUUGGAGUCUGCAACUCGACUCCAUGAAGUUGGAAUCGCUAGUAAUCGCGAAUCAGAACGUCGCGGUGAAUACGUUCCCGGGUCUUGUACACACCGCCCGU